rnacentral:lncRNA from 1 species
GCCGGGACCAGAUCCAGCUGAGGCUGAGCGAAACUUCUUCCAAGGCAGCCGGUCAUACUCUACUCUGGGAUCCAAGGAUUCAAAGUUUCAUUGUCGAUGUGGAUAAGAAGCAGCAGCAAGAUAUUUGCACCCUGCCCUUUUUUGUACUUGCAAAAAACGACAGAACGUCAACUGGUGCUGACUGUGCACCAUGAGUCCAUGAAGCUACUGUGUGGUUUUCUGUCCAUUGCUACAGCUGGGCUGAACAGUUACGUGU